UACCGAGGUCCCGAGCGUUGUUCGGAUUCAUUGGGCGUAAAGGGUGCGUAGGCGGCGGGGAAAGUCUGAUGUGAAAUCCUGGGGCUCAACCCUGGAACUGCAUUGGAUACUUCCUUGCUAGAGUACUGGAGAGGAAACUGGAAUUUACGGUGUAGCAGUGAAAUGCGUAGAUAUCGUGAGGAAGACCAGUGGCGAAGGCGGGUCUCUGGACAGUUCCUGACGCUGAGGCGCGAAGGCCAGGGGAGCAAACAGG
rnacentral:rRNA from 1 species